CCUACGGGAGGCAGCAGUGGGGAAUAUUGCACAAUGGGGGAAACCCUGAUGCAGCGACGCCGCGUGAGUGAAGAAGUAUUUCGGUAUGUAAAGCUCUAUCAGCAGGGAAGAAAAUGACGGUACCUGAUUAAGAAGCCCCGGCUAACUACGUGCCAGCAGCCGCGGUAAUACGUAGGGGGCAAGCGUUAUCCGGAUUUAUUGGGUUAAAAGGGUGCGUAGGCGGAAUAUAAAGUCAGCGGUAAAAAUUCGGGGCUCAACCCCGUCGUGCCGUUGAAACUGAUGUUCUUGAGUGGGCGAGAAGUAGGCGGAAUGCGUGGUGUAGCGGUGAAAUGCAUAGAUAUCACGAAGAACUCCGAUUGCGAAGGCAGCAUACCGGCGCCCAACUGACGCUGAAGCAUGAAAGCGUGGGUAUCGAACAGGAUUAGAUACCCCAGUAGUC
rnacentral:rRNA from 1 species